CAGGUUCAAUUGAAGUAAUUGGAUGUUUUCUUUUUAACUUUUAGUUGAAAAAUUUUGGGUUCAUUUUGGAUUGGAUGUGAAAUUACUGACUCGAGUGUGGGCCCUGGAUGGUAAUGUUCGUACGUACUAAACUGAGAAUUCAGAAUGUUAUAUCUUGAACUUCUGGUGGUUAAAAGCUUCUUGAACAAAACGAUAGAGGUCCUGAUGGCAGAAAUUACUUGAUCAACUGGGAAGCCUACUGGUCUUGAACUGCACUAGUGAAUUCCGAUGGAAAAUUUAUAUUGAUUGAUCUUACAUAGCUUGACUUCACCUCCAAUUUGUGAGCUUAGUAUUCAAAGACAUUUUGAACUCUAGUAUGAAAAUGGCAAUUCCUUCUCUACACUUUAGCAUCUAGAUUGAACUAGAAAGCGUAAGAUUAUUGCCAGAAAAGACAGCAUGAAGAUUUAAUAGAUUAGACGUCCCAUAUGAACAUACCAGAAAACAUACAGAAAAGAGCAAAAUUCAGCAGAGUUCGAGAAAAAAGUAUCUUGGGCAGAUCAGCAGCGUUGCUGAGAUGCAUAGGAAGGACAUUUUAGGUGAGAGAAGCAUGAAUGC